rnacentral:rRNA from 1 species
UACGUAGGUGGCAAGCGUUGUCCGGAUUUACUGGGCGUAAAGGGCGCGUAGGCGGCCACCGCAAGUCGGUUGUGAAAUCUCUGGGCUUAACCCAGAAAGGUCAACCGAUACUGCGGGGCUAGAGUGCAGAAGGGGCAACUGGAAUUCUCGGUGUAGCGGAUGAAAUGCGUAGAUAUCGAGAGGAACACCUGCGGCGAAGGCGGGUUGCUGGGCUGACACUGACGCUGAUGCGCGAAAGCUAGGGGAGCGAACGGG